rnacentral:sRNA from 1 species
GCCGGGAGCGGUGGCGCAUGCCUGUAAUCCCGUGGCUUGGGAGGCUGAGACAGAGGAAUCAAGAGUUCAAAGUCAGCCUCAGCAACUGCGAGGCACUAAGCAACUCAGUGAGACCCUGUCUCUA